AAAUUCUAGGAACAAUUAGGAGGCCCGCGUCUUGUGACCGUAGCGUACGUGUAGGUAUGUACGGCAGGACCAAAUCGGAAAGAUAGGUAGGAGCAAGCCCAUGUAAUGCUUUUUUGGUGUGGCGCCAUUUCCGUUCCAAUUUUCUGGAAGCUUGCUUCAGAGCUCGUGUAUUUCUGUAUACCAGGGAGCUAGUUUCUUAUGACAAAUGUUUUUCGUUUUUAGGGGUGCAACUGCAUCUAGGGUAUUGCGCAAGGUUAAAUUGAGUUCCUCGGUUAGGUGGUUAACUGAUUUUUGUCCUCUGACGUCCUUGGGUAGGCAGAGGCAGUCUGGAAGGACAUCAAGGAAUCUUUGGGUUGUCUGAGAAUUUAUAGCACGACUUUUAAUGCUCCUUGGUUGGGGUCUGAGCAGAUUAUUUGUUGCGAUUGCAUACGUAAUAAAAUGGUGGUCCGAUAGUCC
rnacentral:lncRNA from 1 species